AGCACGGGAGCAAUCCUGGUGGCGAGUGGCGAACGGGUGAGUAAUAUAUCGGAACGUGCCCAGUCGUGGGGGAUAACGCAGCGAAAGCUGUGCUAAUACCGCAUACGAUCUACGGAUGAAAGCGGGGGAUCGCAAGACCUCGCGCGAUUGGAGCGGCUGAUAUCAGAUUAGCUAGUUGGUGGGGUAAAGGCCUACCAAGGCGACGAUCUGUAGCUGGUCUGAGAGGACGACCAGCCACACUGGAACUGAGACACGGUCCAGACUCCUACGGGAGGCAGCAGUGGGGAAUUUUGGACAAUGGGCGCAAGCCUGAUCCAGCAAUGCCGCGUGCAGGAUGAAGGCCUUCGGGUUGUAAACUGCUUUUGUACGGAACGAAAAGGUCUUUCUUAAUACGAGAGAUUUAUGACGGUACCGUAAGAAUAAGCACCGGCUAACUACGUGCCAGCAGCCGCGGUAAUACGUAGGGUGCGAGCGUUAAUCGGAAUUACUGGGCGUAAAGCGUGCGCAGGCGGUUUUGUAAGACAGAUGUGAAAUCCCCGGGCUCAACCUGGGACCUGCAUUUGUGACUGCAAGGCUAGAGUACGGUAGAGGGGGAUGGAAUUCCGCGUGUAGCAGUGAAAUGCGUAGAUAUGCGGAGGAACACCGAUGGCGAAGGCAAUCCCCUGGACCUGUACUGACGCUCAUGCACGAAAGCGUGGGGAGCAAACAGGAUUAGAUACCCUGGUAGUCCACGCCCUAAACAAUGUCAACUGGGUGUUG
rnacentral:rRNA from 1 species